GGCGGGUUCCGGCGGGCUCGGGCCGGGGCCGGGCCGCAGUGAUUUUCAAAGGAGAUUGUCACUUGAACUACUGCCUUAACUUUGUGAAGUCUUUCUAUUCUACCCCUGCACCAUUGGGACCAGCUGGAUGAAGGGGAUGAAAUCCCGGAUCGUCCACACCUGGGCAGGAUCGAAGCGCUGCUGGAGGAGCAGGAGCAGCCCCUGCGCCGGGCGGAGCAUCCCGGAAUGCCAGAGCCUGGGAUCUGCUCCUGGGCUGAGGCUGGGAACAUGGAAUGUGGGAACUGGGAAUUUGGGACUGUGGAGCAGUGGGAUGGGGGUUCCCCUCCCCUCCUCACCAGGCCGUGCUUCCCAGAGCUGGAAUCCAGCAGGAAUCUCACCCUGGUGGUCGCUGUGUCUGUCAGUGCUGCCAUCAGCAUUGUUAUCCUCAUUGGAUUUGGUGUCUGGAAGCUCCAAUCUGGUUCGCUCCAAACCCAACCUGGGGGUCACCCUGUUCUUCUCCCCUUCCCAGACACUUGGAGAUCCCCCCAUGACCCAUCCAGCCCCCCCAAACUCUUCCUUGGGUCACCCCUAAGUCCCCAGUGGGGAUUUCUGUGAGUUCCCCUGUGUUCCCCCAUUCCCAGGACUUUGGGGGUCCCCCCCGACCUGUUUGUGCCCCCCCUGAUUUCUUCCACAGCCCCUCUGUGAUGGUGGGGGCUGGGGUCCAAGUGCUGGUGCCUCCCUGCCUGCAGCAGAUCCAGCACUGAGGGGAGUCCCUUAGCAUCUGGGGUCCCCUGGGGUUAGGGGUCACCCCCCCGGGUCACCCAGGAUCUCCCUGAACACGCUGGCACUGCCCAUGCUCAGUGAGAAGGUUCAUUCCCAGCACGAGGCCUCAGCUGUGUCACUGGCGUUGCCCAGGUACCCACAAAGCCUCCCGGGAACCCCAAACCCUCUGGAACAUCCCAGCUUCCCUGGGACCCCAAUAUCAUCCCUAGCCUCUCCAAAAGCUCCCCAAGACUGCAAAACCCCAUACAGACCCCCCCAAACCUUCUCAGGACAUCAAAAUUCCCACAGGACGUCCCAACACCCCUCCAGACCCCCUUGAGAAGGUUCAUACCUGGCAUGGGAUCCCCAUCUCCGUCGCCAGCAGAUCGGUUUGGGAGUGACCCAGCCCAUUCCCGUUGGCCAGGGAGGAGGAGGAAGACAGUGGGAUAGAGGAGGAGAAAGAUAGAGGGAGAGAGGAGGAGGAGCAGGCAGAGGAGGAGCUGGAGCAGCUGGAGGAAGCACCGCAUGCUUUCAGCUCUCUCUGCACUCGCAGCAGCUUCGGCUCGGGACCAUCGCCCCCCAUC